ACAAGGUCUCCGUUGGUGAACCAGCGGAGGGAUCAUUACAGAGUUGCAAAACUCCCCAAACCAUUGUGAACCUUACCUUCAACCGUUGCUUCGGCGGGCGGGCCACAGCGCCCCCCGGGCCCCCCCAGCGGGGCGCCCGCCGGAGGAUACCCAAACUCUUGAUACUUUAUGGCCUCUCUGAGUCUUCUGUACUGAAUAAGUCAAAACUUUCAACAACGGAUCUCUUGGUUCUGGCAUCGAUGAAGAACGCAGCGAAAUGCGAUAAGUAAUGUGAAUUGCAGAAUUCAGUGAAUCAUCGAAUCUUUGAACGCACAUUGCGCCCGCCAGUAUUCUGGCGGGCAUGCCUGUUCGAGCGUCAUUUCAACCAUCGAGCCCCCGGGCUUGUGUUGGGGACCUGCGGCUGCCCGCAGGCCCUGAAAACCAGUGGCGGGCUCGCUGUCACACCGAGCGUAGUAGCAUCAUCUCGCUCAGGGCGUGCUGCGGGUUCCGGCCGUUAAAAGCCUCUAAUACCCAAGGUUGACCUCGGAUCAGGUAGGAAGACCCGCUGAACUUAAGCAUAUCAA
rnacentral:rRNA from 1 species